GUGUCAGCCGCCGCGGUAAUACGUAGGGCGCAAGCGUUAUCCGGAAUUAUUGGGCGUAAAGAGCUCGUAGGCGGUUUGUCGCGUCUAUCGUGAAAGUCCGAGGCUCAACUUCGGAUCUGCGGUGGGUACGGGCAGACUAGAGUGAUGUAGGGGAGACUGGAAUUCCUGGUGUAGCGGUGAAAUGCGCAGAUAUCAGGAGGAACACCGAUGGCGAAGGCAGGUCUCUGGGCCGUUACUGACACUGAGAAGCGAAAGCAUGGGGAGCGAACAGGAUUAGAUACCCGAGUAGUCC
rnacentral:rRNA from 1 species